AAUACAAUAUAAAUUUUAAUUAAAACUUAUACCUUUAACAGGGCGUAGAUUCUCGUAGCAUUCAUAAUACUAUGAAUUCGUAAUUUGACAGUUGCAUGUAUAAAAUCUCAUCAGAACUGUCAAGCUACGAAUUCUUAAAGUUACGAAUGUUACGAGAAUCGGCGCCCAGAUGUGUCUGAACAGUACAAUAGUAGCGCAGCCUGAGUAAACGGUUGCAAAACAGGAAAAACGCUAGUGAAUCCAGCUCGAGACUCAAAAUUCAGAGUCUCUGUCUUUGUUAUACUUACCGAAAUUAACAUAGGCCUUGAAGUCAACUCACAGAAAGAGUAAUCUCGUCCCAACUGAUGCCUAAUUUCGUUCACGAUUUUUGUAGCACACCACAGAAAUACUUCUCUCUUUGGGCAAUCCUUUCGUGCAGCGAUCUUGCAUUCGACACCCUCAAUCUAAGACACAAUUCUUCCAAUCAAUGGCCGGAUAUCUCAAAUUCGAGCGCCAAUAGCUUAGACUACACUGACUUUAUCAAUGCUUAAAUUGAUCCAGACAAUUAGUGGGACACAACAUAACAACCGACAAUAAAGUUUGUUGUUAGACGAGCACAAUGACGGCGAAUCGAAGUGAAAUUCGUAAAUAAAAUUGAAUGAACCAAACCGUUAAUUUGUAUUUCGAUAAUAUCAAAUCUGUCUGGAACAGGUCAUAAUUCACUACUAACUCUUCUUAUUCUUCUUGUUCUAGUUCAGUAUUACAAAGGUUUCUGUUUUGUUUGUCUUCUUGUAAAUUUAGAAAUUCAAUUUUAUUUAUCGCACUCAACACUCACUGGAGAUUACAAACCAAACUGGCCACUAAAUUAGCCCCCCAAAAAACAAAACUGUUUAUCGUAAGUAAACAAAGUCGAUAAAAUAUCACAUUUAGUACUUCCGUUCGAAUCGUCUCGUCCCAUUUUUUGAAUCUCUCGAUGACAUUUUAAUUUCGGUAAAAAUCAAAUCGAACAAAAUAAACAAUUC